CGCAUACGUCCUACGGGAGAAAGCAGGGGAUCUUCGGACCUUGCGCUAAUAGAUGAGCCUAAGUCGGAUUAGCUAGUUGGUGGGGUAAAGGCCUACCAAGGCGACGAUCUGUAGCGGGUCUGAGAGGAUGAUCCGCCACACUGGGACUGAGACACGGCCCAGACUCCUACGGGAGGCAGCAGUGGGGAAUAUUGGACAAUGGGGGGAACCCUGAUCCAGCCAUAGGGCGCGUGCGAAGAAGGCCUUAUGGUUGUA
rnacentral:rRNA from 1 species